rnacentral:rRNA from 1 species
AGCAGUCGCCACGGUAAUACGGAGGGGGCAAGCGUUAUCCGGAAUUAUUGGGCGUAAAGGGUACGUAGGUGGCCUUUUAAGCGUAGGGUAUAAGGCAAUGGCUCAACCAUUGUUCGCCCUAUGAACUGGAAGGCUUGAGUGCAGGAGAGGAAAGCGGAAUUCCUAGUGUAGCGGUGGAAUGCAUGGAUAUUAGGAGGAACAUCAGCGGCGAAGGCGGCUUUCUGGACUGCAACUGACACUGAGGUACGAAAGCGUGGGGAGCAAAUGGGAUUAGAUACCCCAGUAGUCCCUGUCUCUUAUACC